rnacentral:rRNA from 1 species
UGCAAGUCGAACGAUGAUGCCUUUAGCUUGCUAGAGGUGGAUUAGUGGCGCACGGGUGAGUAAGGUAUAGUUAAUCUGCCCUACACUGGGGGACAACAUUUAGAAAUGAGUGCUAAUACCCCAUACUCCACUAUAACACAAGUUAUAGUGGGAAAGUUUUUCGGUGUAGGAUGAGACUAUAUAGUAUCAGCUAGUUGGUAAGGUAAAGGCUUACCAAGGCUAUGACGCUUAACUGGUCUGAGAGGAUGAUCAGUCACAUUGGAACUGAGACACGGUCCAAACUCCUACGGGAGGCAGCAGUGGGGAAUAUUGCGCAAUGGGCGAAAGCCUGACGCAGCAACGCCGCGUGGAGGAUGACACUUUUCGGAGCGUAAACUCCUUUUCUUAGGGAAGAAUUCUGACGGUACCUAAGGAAUAAGCACCGGCUAACUCCGUGCCAGCAGCCGCGGUAAUACGGAGGGUGCAAACGUUACUCGGAAUCACUGGGCGUAAAGGGCGCGUAGGCGGAUUAUCAAGUCUCUUGUGAAAUCUAGUGGCUCAACCAUUAAACUGCUUGGGAAACUGAUAGUCUAGAGUAAGGGAGAGGCAGAUGGAAUUGGUGGUGUAGGGGUAAAAUCCGUAGAUAUCACCAAGAAUACCCAUUGCGAAGGCGAUCUGCUGGAACUUAACUGACGCUAAGGCGCGAAAGCGUGGGGAGCAAACAGGAUUAGAUACCCUGGUAGUCCACGCCCUAAACGAUGUAUGCUAGUUGUUGGGGUGCUAGUCAUCUCAGUAAUGCAGCUAACGCAUUAAGCAUACCGCCUGGGGAGUACGGUCGCAAGAUUAAAACUCAAAGGAAUAGACGGGGACCCGCACAAGCGGUGGAGCAUGUGGUUUAAUUCGAGGAUACGCGAAGAACCUUACCUGGGCUUGAUAUCCAACUAAUUCUUUAGAGAUAAAGAAGUGCUAGCUUGCUAGAAAGUUGAGACAGGUGCUGCACGGCUGUCGUCAGCUCGUGUCGUGAGAUGUUGGGUUAAGUCCCGCAACGAGCGCAACCCUCGUCCUUAGUUGCUAACAGUUUAGCUGAGCACUCUAAGGAGACUGCCUUCGUAAGGAGGAGGAAGGUGGGGACGAUGUCAAGUCAUCAUGGCCCUUACGCCCAGGGCGACACACGUGCUACAAUGGCAUAUACAAUGAGACGCAAUACCGUGAGGUGGAGCAAAUCUAUAAAAUAUGUCCCAGUUCGGAUUGUUCUCUGCAACUCGAGAGCAUGAAGCCGGAAUCGCUAGUAAUCGCAAAUCAGCCAUGUUGCGGUGAAUACGUUCCCGGGUCUUGUACUCACCGCCCGUCAAACCAUGGGAGUUGAUUUCACUCG